rnacentral:rRNA from 1 species
GUGCAGCAGCUGCGGUAAGACAGAGGGUGCAAGCGUUGUUCGGAAUUACUGGGCAUAAAGCGCACGUAGGCGGCUCGUCUAGUCACGCGUGAAAUCCCCCGGCUCAACCGGGGAACUGCGUGUGAUACUGGCGGGCUUGAGGUCGGUAGGGGUGAGUGGAACUCCAGGUGGAGCGGUGAAAUGCGUAGAUAUCUGGAGGAACACCGGUGGCGAAGGCGACUCACUGGACCGAAUCUGACGCUGAGGUGCGAAAGCUAGGGUAGCAAACGGGAUUAGAUA